AUUGAACGCUGGCGGCAUGCCUUACACAUGCAAGUCGAACGGCAGCACGGGAGCAAUCCUGGUGGCGAGUGGCGAACGGGUGAGUAAUAUAUCGGAACGUGCCCAGUCGUGGGGGAUAACGUAGCGAAAGCUACGCUAAUACCGCAUACGAUCUAUGGAUGAAAGCGGGGGAUCGCAAGACCUCGCGCGAUUGGAGCGGCCGAUAUCAGAUUAGGUAGUUGGUGAGGUAAAGGCUCACCAAGGCGACGAUCAGUAGCUGGUUUGAGAGAACGACCAGCCACACUGGAACUGAGACACGGUCCAGACUCCUACGGGAGGCAGCAGUGGGGAAUUUUGGACAAUGGGCGCAAGCCUGAUCCAGCAAUGCCGCGUGCAGGAUGAAGGCCUUCGGGUUGUAAACUGCUUUUGUACGGAACGAAACGGUGAGCUCUAAUACAGUUUGCUAAUGACGGUACCGUAAGAAUAAGCACCGGCUAACUACGUG
rnacentral:rRNA from 1 species